rnacentral:rRNA from 1 species
AUUGAACGCUGGCGGCAGGCCUAACACAUGCAAGUCGAGCGGAUGAAGGGAGCUUGCUCCUGGAUUCAGCGGCGGACGGGUGAGUAAUGCCUAGGAAUCUGCCUGGUAGUGGGGGACAACGUUUCGAAAGGAACGCUAAUACCGCAUGCGUCCUACGGGAGAAAGCAGGGGACCCUCGGGCCUUGCGCUAUCAGAUGAGCCUAGGUCGGAUUAGCUAGUUGGUGAGGUAAUGGCUCACCAAGGCGACGAUCCGUAACAGGUCUGAGAGGAUGAUCAGUCACACUGGAACUGAGACACGGUCCAGACUCCUACGGGAGGCAGCAGUGGGGAAUAUUGGACAAUGGGCGAAAGCCUGAUCCAGCCAUGCCGCGUGUGUGAAGAAGGUCUUCGGAUUGUAAAGCACUUUAAGUUGGGAGGAAGGGUUGUAGAUUAAUACUCUGCAAUUUUGACGUUACCGACAGAAUAAGCACCGGCUAACUCUGUGCCAGCCGCCGCCGUAAUAC